UACGUAGGGUGCAGGCGUUAAUCGGAAUUACUGGGCGUAAAGCGUGCGCAGGCGGUUUGUUAAGACAGGUGUGAAAUCCCCGGGCUUAACCUGGGAAUUGCGCUUGUUACUGGCAGACUUGAGUGUGGCAGAGGGGGGUGGAAUUCCAAGUGUAGCAGUGAAAUGCGUAGAUAUUUGGAGGAACACCGAUGGCGAAGGCAGCCCCCUGGGCUAACACUGACGCUCAUGCACGAAAGCGUGGGGAGCAAACAGG
rnacentral:rRNA from 2 species